AACAUCGCGCACCUGCGGGAACCUGCGGAGGGAUCAUUACCGAGUGAGGGCCCUCUGGGUCCAACCUCCCACCCGUGUUUAUCGUACCUUGUUGCUUCGGCGGGCCCGCCGCAAGGCCGCCGGGGGGCGUCUGUCCCCGGGCCCGCGCCCGCCGAAGACACCUGUGAACGCUGUAUGAAGAUUGCAGUCUGAGCGAAAAGCUAAAUCGUUAAAACUUUUAACAAUGGAUCUCAGAUCGGA
rnacentral:misc_RNA from 1 species